CUUCAAGCGAGACGCUUCGCUAUAAUUACUCACCGAGGCCUUUCGCUCGUCCUCAGAUUCAAAUCGCGAGAAAUGGUUGUCAGUUUUGUUAAUCAAAGCAUGAAUUUUCUGCUGAAUGGAGCUUCUAAUUCUUUGAAAGCGCUGUCGACAAAGUUAGGGUUUCGAUAGGUUAUAGAAGGUUGGAAGCAUUGAUUUCCGAAUCUAGGGUUCGAAAACGAGUCCGAUUCAAUUUGCGAAAAGGGGAAGAGGAACGACGAAUGAAGAGUGCAUAUGUUUGUUUGUUUAGAGAAAAGUGAGGACUGUCAUCGCAGCUAUGUUGACAGAGAUGGUCAUGCGUGCAGUAUCAGAGACCAUUCGACUGGAUUGGACCAAGGGCGGACUUUAUUCCUGGCAUUGAUUAAUAAGCUGUUGCGUUGGGUGCCUUCAAAACUCGUUGAUGGAGGGCAAUCCCAAAUAACUUUUUUCCUUGUAUAUCAAUGAUGCCAUUUGACCCGUUCU